GUCAAUAUCUUGUUCUCUAUCUCCUAAUUAGAUUGUUGUUCCAUAAAACCAACAUCACAAUUUUCAAUGGUUUUCUCAACUACCUCUUAAGUAUGAGAGAAAGGCAAGUUCUAUUAAAGCUUGACACAAGAGUAGAAGUACUUUUUGUUGAAUGAAAUUCUAUUUGUACUCCUAUCUGCCAUUGAUGGAGUCUGAUCCACAAGCAAUCUCCA
rnacentral:lncRNA from 1 species